GAAAUGCGAUAAGUAGUGUGAAUUGCAGAAUUCAGUGAAUCAUCGAAUCUUUGAACGCAUAUUGCGCCCUUUGGUAUUCCAAAGGGCAUGCCUGUUCGAGCGUCAUUUGUACCCUCAAGCUUUGCUUGGUGUUGGGCGUCUUGUCUCCAGUUCGCUGGAGACUCGCCUUAAAGUAAUUGGCAGCCGGCCUACUGGUUUCGGAGCGCAGCACAAGUCGCGCUCUCUUCCAGCCAAGGUCAGCAUCCACAAAGCCUUUUUUCAACUUUUGACCUCGGAUCAGGUAGGGUUACCCGCUGAACUUAAGC
rnacentral:misc_RNA from 1 species